rnacentral:rRNA from 1 species
UGGGGAAUUUUGCACAAUGGGGGAAACCCUGAUGCAGCGACGCCGCGUGAUUUAGAAGGCCUUCGGGUUGUAAAAAUCUUUUCUAUGGGAAGAAAAUGACAGUACCAUAGGAAUAAGGACCGGCUAAUUACGUGCCAGCAGCCGCGGUAAUACGUAAGGUCCGAGCGUUGUCCGGAAUCAUUGGGCGUAAAGGGUACGUAGGCGGGUAAGCAAGUUAGAAGUGAAAUCCUAUAGCUCAACUAUAGUAAGCUUUUAAAACUGCUUAUCUUGAGGUAUGGAAGGGAAAGUGGGAUUCCUAGUGUAGCGGUGAAAUGCGCAGAUAUUAGGAGGAAUACCGGUGGCGAAGGCGACUUUCUGGCCAUAACCUGACGCUGAGGUACGAAAGCGUGGGUAGCAAACAGG